UUUGUUUUUUUGUCAUGGUGGAACUAGCGACGACUUUGUUGAUAGCGACCUCUUGAAGGAAGGGAACGAGGUCGUCGUUGAAAGGAGGAAGAUGAAGAUGAUGGAUAUUUUAAUUGAGAUCCCCUAAAACCUUUUGGUGAACCUCUACCUCUUGACUUGUAUAUAAGUUCUUCCAUUAAGCCAGGAACGUCAUGUAAAGAAAAUAAAGCAAUAGCAGAUUCAUGAAUGUUCUUACCGGUGGCUCGUCUUUGGGACGAACCAGAGAAGACAUGAGGUUUAGACCCAUACAGAGUUUUCAAAGCAUUUGUACGGGAAAAUUUCGAUGACUUUUCAAUAUCCGACCUCAAAGUUGAGAGAGCUUGAUCUGAUAAGGGCUCGAUAGUUGCCCGUUUUAAAGGUAAAUGUUUGAUACUAUUUAAAAAAGGUUUCUCUUGUUCCAGAAGAAUUAAAUAUGCCUCUCCUGUUUUACCAGCCCUACCCGUACGUCCAAUUCGAUGAAUGUAAUCAUCGGUAUUGCUAGGACCAGUUAUUUGGACAACCUGGGUAAUGUUAGGGAAAUCCAUUCCCCGUGCGACAACAUCUGUAGCAAAUAAAAUACCACUUUGACAUUUCCUAAAGCUUUCUGUAAUAGAUCUACGCUGCGCAGUAGUUAAACCGGAAUGUAAAAUAAAGCAAGGAAUCUUCAAAUGAUUUUCUAAAACUCCGCCAACAAAGUCAACCAUGCUUAUGGUGGGAAGAAAAACGAUAAUACGACUUGAGGGAUUUGAAGAAGUGAGUUGUUGUAAAAGUGAGAGAGAAGAAGAGAAUACCUUAUCGAGCUUGGUUUCUAUAACAAAUUGGGGCACACGCUCAUGCGUAGGAGGCUCGUUUGGAUCCAGACAGUUUAUGAGCUUAAAAUCAGUCCCAAGAAUUCCACGAAAAACG